UACGGAGGGAGCUAGCGUUGUUCGGAAUUACUGGGCGUAAAGCGCACGUAGGCGGCUUUGUAAGUUAGAGGUGAAAGCCCGGGGCUCAACUCCGGAACUGCCUUUAAGACUGCAUCGCUUGAAUCCAGGAGAGGUGAGUGGAAUUCCGAGUGUAGAGGUGAAAUUCGUAGAUAUUCGGAAGAACACCAGUGGCGAAGGCGGCUCACUGGACUGGUAUUGACGCUGAGGUGCGAAAGCGUGGGGAGCAAACAGGG
rnacentral:rRNA from 1 species